rnacentral:lncRNA from 1 species
GUAAUUAAGAAGAUAUUGGCUAGCAGGACUUUGAUGUUGGAAAAUGCUUAGUUGCAAGGCAGUUUAUUCAACAGACUUCAAUCUGUUUGUAAGUUGGGAAAGUUCCAAAUUCAUAGACUCUAUACUGCACUUCUGCCUAUAUUUCCUAAGUUUCUAUGGAGGAAUGUAAUGCUUGUAUCAUCUGCACUACCAAGACAUAGAUUUACUGUCUGGUUAGCUGCUCAUCAGAAGUUACCUACCAUUGAGAGACUGCAGAUCAUGGGCAUUCAAAUUCC